UCUCGCCCGUAAGUUCAAGCUCCUUCAUUGGGGCAAUUCAUCAAACACCUUGCAUAAAAUCUGUGAUAGGAUCUUAAAUCCUAUCAUCUACUUCUGGAUGAAUGAGUUGUGAAAGGAAUAACAGUUGAUAUAACAGAAUUAGGCGAGCUGCUGUUGAAUUAAUAUCAAGAUUCUGUGUUUCAUUUCUGAAGCCAAAACGCGUCUCCAGAGCAGGAGAUCCCAAUCACGAGAGGAUCUCGUUUCUUCCAUGGCAGAGGGAAACACGAUGAUGCCCUGAAACCAAGAAAGUGAAGGACCAACUGCAAGACUCUUGAGUGGAGUAGUUGCGCUGUUUUCCCACGGAAACGAGAUGCAACAUGGAGGGUGGAGAUACAUACAGCAUGCUCCGAAAAGCAAACUUUGGCUUGUUGACUUAGCAGGAAGUGAGAACUGAUGUACAAGGCAAGCGGAUUAAAGAAGCUCAGAACAUCAAUAGGUCACUCUCUGCUCUCGCAGAUGUAAUAACUGCCUUAGCAAAUAAAAGUGGCCACAUAUCAUACAGCUCACCCAUUUACUCCAGGAUCCAUUAGGUGGUGAUUCUAAAACAUCGGUGUGUGCACAAAUUAGUCCAUCGGAUCAAGACUUAAGCGAGACUCUCAGAAGAUAAACAUGAGCUCCAGAAGAUAAAAACAAUGCAUGAGAAAGCACGACUGGAAUGCAAGGCCAAAGAUGAAUCUUUGAAAAGGCUCGAAGAAAAAUCUACAGAAACCUGAAAGCAAAGCUAAGGGAAAGGAUCAGUUGUACAAAAAACCGAUUGGAGAAACUAAAAGAGUUAUCGGUUCCUUGCACUUGUUAUUGCAUUCAUUAAUAAAAUUUAAUCGAAGCACAUAUUUUUAAAGAUAAAUACGUGUAUAACUAAUGUUCAAUAGUAUCCUUAGGUCAAAGAGCUUGAACUGACAAAACAGGAAGAAAUUAAGGAGUUUUUGUUCCUCCGUAUUGUUCCAUUUGUAGCCUGUAACGUGUUUAGAGUUUAGGGUUUCAAGUUCGUGAUUAUGAAUCUGUAAUAGUA